CCUACGGGGGGCAGCAGUAAGGAAUAUUGGUCAAUGGAGGAAACUCUGAACCAGCCAUCCCGCGUGAAGGAUGAAGGGGCUCUGCCUUGUAAACUUCUUUUGUCUGGGGCGAAAAAGCUCGAUUUCUCGAGAACUGACGGUACCCGAAGAAUAAGCACCGGCUAACUCCGUGCCAGCAGCCGCGGUAAUACGGAGGGUGCAGGCGUUAUCCGGAAUCACGGGGGUUAAGGGGUCUUAAGACGGCUGUGGUGAAAGGCUGUGGCGUAACCAUGGAAUUGCCAUUGAUACUGCAGAGCUUGAAUGAGGUUGAGGUUGGCGGAAUGUGACAUGUAGCGGUGAAAUGCUUAGAUAUGUCAUGGAACACCGAUUGCGAAGGCAGCUGACUGGACCUAUAUUGACGCUGAGGCACGAAAGCGUGGGGAGCGAACAGGAUUAGAUACCCGAGUAGUC
rnacentral:rRNA from 1 species